rnacentral:rRNA from 1 species
GAUGAACGCUGGCGGCGUGCCUAAUACAUGCAAGUCGAGCGAAUGGAUUAAGAGCUUGCUCUUAUGAAGUUAGCGGCGGACGGGUGAGUAACACGUGGGUAACCUGCCCAUAAGACUGGGAUAACUCCGGGAAACCGGGGCUAAUACCGGAUAACAUUUUGAACCGCAUGGUUCGAAAUUGAAAGGCGGCUUCGGCUGUCACUUAUGGAUGGACCCGCGUCGCAUUAGCUAGUUGGUGAGGUAACGGCUCACCAAGGCAACGAUGCGUAGCCGACCUGAGAGGGUGAUCGGCCACACUGGGACUGAGACACGGCCCAGACUCCUACGGGAGGCAGCAGUAGGGAAUUGUUCGCAAUGGGCGCAAGCCUGACGACGCAACGCCGCGUGGAGGAUGAAGGUCUUCGGAUUGUAAACUCCUGUUGAUCGGGACGAAAAGCUUCGACCUAACACGUCGAGGACUGACGGUACCGGUUGAGGAAGCCACGGCUAACUCUGUGCCAGCAGCCGCGGUAA